AAACGGAUGUACAAACGAACGACCAGACCAGUAACCAACCGAAUGAUAAUGUCAAAUAUAACGAUAAAAAAUGUGGUAAAGAAAAUGAACAUAAUAAUAUGUGUAAUGUUACUACAAAUAAAGAAAGGAUAAUUUUUAACAUAAAAGAGAAAACUGAUAGAAGCGUGUUAUCAUGUGAUAUGAAUGAAAAAAGCGAUGGAUCUUUUAAUAAUUAUGAAAGUUAUAUUAACAUGGGGAAUAAUAUUUAUUAUAAUAAAAUGAAUAUACCUAAUUUUACGCUUGGUUUAGAUAUAACAUCCGAACAAUGCAACAAUAGUAAUAAAAAAUUAAAUACAAAUAACGUAGGAGACAUAUUUAAAGCUGGUGAUGUAUACAGUAUACACAGUAGUAACAAUAGUAACGAUAGUAAUGAUAAUAAUAAUUUGUACCAUAUGAGCAAAGAAUUAAAAAUUCAUGAUAGUUUUGUUGAUAGUUUUGGUGGUAUUUUUUGUAACAAUUCUGUUAAUAACACUGGUAAUAAUUUUGUUUUUCCAAAUACAAUACAAAAAAAACGAAAUAUUUAUUGAAGAUCGUUAUAAAAAUAUUCCAGAAAAAAACAACAACCUAAAUAAUAUUUCACUUUUUAAUAUAAUAAAUAAUUUUAAAAAUAAUAUAGAAAAAAAUAAAAAUACUAUAUUUCAUUCGGUUAGUAGAGAAGGUUUAAUGUUUAUUUUAAAUAUACAGGAAAUUUUUAUUAAUAAAACAAAACAAUUAUUAUGUGGUAAAUGUAAAAAAGAAACACCUAAUAUUGAUAAUGUUAAUAAUUUAUUUAAGAAUAUAUUAAAAUUAAAAAUAGAAAAACAAACAUAUGAAAUUUAUAUGAUAAAUAUAUUACAAAAUUUAAAAAAUGAGUUUAUAAAAAUGAACAGUACUAUGAGAAAAAAACUGGAAGAAAAUACGUUUAUAAUAAAUAAUUUAAAUAAAGAUAAAAAUUUACUUAAUAGUAAUAUUAAAGAAUUAAGAGAAGAAAUACAAAAAAUAAAAAAUGAACAUAAUAUAAAACUAUUUACAAUUAAAAUUAUUAUACACAAUAAAUUCUUAACUCUUUUUGAUUAUAUACAUCAAUUAUUUCUGAACUAUACAACAUUAUUAUAUGAAAAAAAUGAAAAGAUAAGGUCAAUUAUAAGCACAUUAAAACAUGCACAACUAUAUAAUAAAAAAGAGAUACAUGAUGAAAAAAGGAUACAUGAUGAAAAAAGGAUACAUAAUGAUGAAGAAAAGAUACAUGAUAAAAAAAGGAUACAUAAUGAUGAAGAAAAGAUACAUAAUAAAAAAAAAAUACAUAAUAAAAAAAAAAAGCAAGGAAAAAGUGAUAAUGAUGAUGCAAAUAAGAUCAAAAAAAAAACAAACAAAUUGAAAAAGGGCAUAAAAGGUAACACAGUUGAAAGUAGAUGUGGAGUUUGUAGUGACAGUAACUAUAAAAAAAUGAAAAAAGCGGGAAAGGCGAAAAAAACGGAAAAAACGAAAAAAAGAAUGAAUAAUGAAAAAAGCUCAAAUUCUUCAUCUCUUUCAUUUGGCUCUUCUUACUCUUCGUUUAAUAAUUCUUCCGACAUACUAAUGUCAUUUUCAGGUGAUAAAAAAAAUAAAAAUAAAAAUAAUGAACACUUACCCAUCGACAAUUCGGGUAGUAACAUUUUAAGUGACACAUGUUUGAAUGGUACUACACAACUUGAAAGUAAAAAAGCGACAAAAAGAAAUAAUAUUAAUAGAAACACCAGUAGUAGUAUUGAAAAUAGGAAUGAUGAGAAAUCGAGUCAUUCAGAUUAUAGAACAAAAAAACAUAGCCAGUUGUAUAGAGACCAUAGCGAAUGUAGUGGAUAUAAUUAUAGAAAAAAAAAAUACAUGAAUUUAAGUAAAAUAGAACUGAGCAAAAAAUUAGUUACAUAUAAAAAAAAGUAUUACGAAGAAUUGAACAAGAACAAAACAUUACACUUUUUAUUAGCUAAUAAGGUAAUCAACAUUAGUAUAUAUAUAUAUAUGUAUAUAUAUGUAUAUGUAAUAUAUUUAUCUGUAAGUACUUUUAUAUGUUCAUGUACCCAUCACGUGUGUACUUUAUGUGUAUUCCUUAUUUGUAUUCUCUAUAUGUGUAUGUCUUAUGUGUAUGCCUAUCGUAUGUAUUUACAUCCACGCUUCACUCAGGACGAAGAAAUGGAACAACUCAGAAAAAAUCACAAUGAAGAGCUAGAACACAAACAAUAUUUACAUGAAGAAGACGAAAAAAAAAAGGAAAAAGAAAUGGAAAACUUAAAAUUUUUAUUAGAUAAAGAAUGUAUAAAUAGCAAAGAAUUAUUUAAUAAGAAUAAAGAACUUAAUGAUGAAAAUGAUAAGCUAAAAAAAAAGUUAGAUACUUGUUUGUACUCAGAUAAGGGUAUAAAUGUAAAGUUAUACGAGUUAAAUAUAAUGAUGUUAAAAGAAAAAGAAAAAAAUAAUUUUUUAUUAGCAGAUAAUGUAAAAUUAAAAAAUAUAAUUCAUCAAAUAAAUUCGAAUCAAGCUUUAUUUUUUAAAAAUUAUAAUGACAACAACAAUAAUAAUAUUAAUAAUAUAAAGAAUAAAAAAAGGUCUAUGGAUAUAUAUAACAAUAUAAAUUAUUAUAUAAAUAGGAAUUUCGAUAAAGAAAGUAACACACAUUUUAAUUAUGAUAACAUGGACAGUUGUAGUUACAUUAAUGUUGAUUACCCGUUUGAAAAUUAUUAUAAUAAACAUGAUCAAAUGUUAUUUGAUAAAUUUAAUAAUCAUAAUAAUGAUAGCGUUGGUGCAUUUAGUGAUGGUGAUAAUAAUAAUGAUGGUUCUGAUUGUAUUCAUAAUCGAUACGGAAAUAAUAAAAAAAGAAUAAAAAACAAAGGGAGAAUAUAUGAUAUGCGUACUAAACAAUUUUUUAACCAAUAUAAUAAUAAAACAACAGAGCCUUGGUUAUAUAGUAGUACUUUAUAUAAUGAUGACUAUUAUGUAGGUAGCUAUACAAAAAAUGCUAUAUUUAAAAAAUAUUACAAUAAUAAUCCUUACCUUAAUUUUAAGUUGAGUUCGUCAUGUUAUAGUGAUAAUACAGUAGAUGUAAGAACACAAGAUGAAGAAAAAAAAAAAAAACAAAAAAAAAAAAGGUACAACAAUUUAAGUGCUGAUAGAAAUAAAAGACAUAGAUUAUUUAAUAGGAGCAGAAGUAUACAAGAUAAUGAGUUUGAUUGUAAUAUGUUUACGGGCACAAACGGUGGAACGCUAGGUAAUAACAAUAAUGAACAGUAUGAUAAUUGGCGAAACAAGCGGCAUGUCAACCAACACGGCGCACAGCACGACAAUCGACACUACAGUAAUGGUGAUAAACAAAUAAAGCAUAAAAGUUUUGAUAAUGGAAAGGUUGAAAAUAAAAAGGUUGAAAAUAGAAAGGUUGAAAAUAAAAAGGUUGAAAAUAAAAAGGUUGAAAAUAGAAAGGUUGAAAAUAGAAAGGUUGAAAAUAGAAAGGUUGAAAAUAGAAAGGUUGAAAAUAGAAAGGUUGAUAACAAAAAUGCUGAUAACAAAAAUGUUGAUAACAAAACGAGUAAGAAUGAAAAAACGAAUGAUGAAUGUAAAGAUAAAAACAUAACAGAAGAAAUACGAAAAGAUAUAUUAAAUUUUAAUGAAAAUAAAUACAAUAAUAUGAUUAAAAAUAUAACUAAGGAAGAAAAAGAAAUCGAAAAAAUAAAAGAAGAAGAUUUAUAUGCUAUAUUUAUGCAAAACUGGAAUGAAUCAAAUAUGGACAAUAAUAGUAGUUAUGUUAAAAAUGAUUUUUUAAAUUUGUCCGGUUCUUUUAUUAGCAACCUUAACCAAAAUGACAUAUUUUUUGAUAAACCAAGUAAAAGUGAUGACAUGGACAGUUAUGAGAAUAAUAAUAAUAAUAAUAAUAAUAAUAAUAAUAAUAAUAAUAAUAAUAAUAAUAAUAAUAAUAAUAAUAAUAAUAAUAACAAUAAUAAUCAUAAUCAUAAUCAUAAUCAUAAUAAUAAUAUAAAUUUAGUUGGUACUUAUGACACUGGUUUAGCUAGUCCUAAUGAUAGUGUUCCAAUCGAUUAUAAUGACAAUGUUCUAACCGGUUCUAAUGAUAUUAACUUAGUUUGCUAUAAUAAUAAUAAUAGCGCAUAUACAGGAAGAACUACUUUUUUUGAAUAUGGAAUGGAAAAUGUAGCAACAAGUAAUAACACUAAUCAUUCGACAGGACAUAACAAUUAUGCAUCAGAUAAUAAACAGAACAAAGCACUAAAUAGGAAUGAUGAGAACACAAAAGGAACAAACAAAUUUAAAUAUAUAGAUAAUACAUUUAAUGAUAGUAAUAGUAGUGGUAAUAAUAAUAAUAAUAAUAAUAAUAAUAAUAAUAAGAAUAUAAAUAUCGAGAGUAUUUCAAAUAAGCAAAUUCCAAAUGAUGUAGAACCAAGCGAUAAUAGUUAUAAUAGAAAUGAUAAAAAUAAAAAUUCGAAUGAGAAUACAGAAGAUAAUAACGAAACAUUUAUGAUGACAUAUGAAUUAUAUAAAAAAAAUAAAGAUAAAUAUAUUCAUAUGAAUUUAAAAAAAAAACAUGAAAAUUAUAAUAAAAAUGAAAAUGAAAAAAAGGAAAAGUGUAAUUAUAACAUCACAAUAAAGAAUAUGUGUUUACCUGAAGUUUUAAAUAAAAAUGAUAGUGAUGCUAAAGGUGAUGGAAUUAUUACCAAAACAUGUGAUGUUGGUAAUGAUAGUUAUAACAGCUCCAAUGAUGGAAGUGUUUUAUGUAAUGUUAAUAAAAAAAAAAAUUCUAUUUAUAACAGUGAUGACAGUAUGAACAUGCAUACAGAAGAGUUAAAACUUGAUAAUAUAUACUGCUCGUAUUAUAAAAAUAACACAAAUGAUAUAACUAUGGAUGAUAGUGUUAGCGAAAUAUAUAAAUCAUUAAAAUGUGAUUAUAAUAACAGACAAGUUCAUUUUUUUAAAACACCAACAAAUAAUAUUACUACUAAUACUACUAACGAUAGUAAUAGUGACAAUUGUAGUAACAAAAACGAUACAAAUGCUACUGAUAAUAUAACAACUAAAAUAAAUAAUAAUACAAAUUAUGAUAAUAAUAACCAAUGUGUACAAAAUGACGACAUUAAUAAUAUGAAAAAUAAUAACAGUUGUUUUCAAAAUAAUAAUAAACCAGAAAAUUACAGUAUAAAAAAUAAUAAUUUUUU
rnacentral:lncRNA from 1 species